GUUUAUUGUAAAAAGAAUAUAUAGGUUUAUAUGGAUUUGUGUUUUCAAUUUUGUUUCUAAACUUUACAGAAUAUUAGUUGGAAAAUUCUCAUAAUGUCAAGUUUGAGUAAUUUGCAAAAUACGAGAUCACUUUAGAAAAUCAAAAUUUGUUUUUUCUCUCCUUUGUAGAAUUUUUGCGAAACAUGUCCGACUAUGGCUUUGUUGUUGUUGUAUAAGAAUAAGAACAUGCAAAACUGCUUUAUUUCCUUUUGAUCGAUCAUUGUCAAACAAGAAUGUAAUCAAAAGAACGGACAGUUUCUAUGUUGACCCUCAGCAAUAUCUACAUUGUCUUGUAAACCUGUAGGAUACCCCCAUUUGCUCGUUCUCGGUUAUUACUUCAGGUACUUUGAUAGUCUGCAGCCUCAAAAAGUUGUCUUGAUUGCCUCCUUGGAUGCCACACCGAAGUUUUGUCCGUCUUACACACCCACUGCUGGUGUUUCCCUUUCUCCAUUCCUGAUCAAAUUUGGGUUUAAAACCUGGCAAGCAUUUGCAAGUCGCAGAGUCAUGAAUACAAGAACCAAAAGGCCCACACUUUCCAUAAAUCUCACACGCAGAUGAUGGAGCUACCCACCCUGGUAUCCAGGUUUGAUCAUUCCAAUACUGUUCUAUGAUAGUACCGUUAGUAGUUACAAGAUAGUUGAACAAGAGAGAUGCUUCUUCUGGCUCAAAUGACAUGUCAUAUGUUCCAUUUCCAUCAUUUUCCUGGAGAACAAAUCCGUCCUUCAAAGUAUUGUCGACAUUUGGAAGUCCUAUGAAGUUGUUUCCAUCGAAUGGACCACUUCGCCAGUAGUUGAUACCGUCUUUCCACGUGAAUAUUUGUGGAAGCCCAUUUGGAGUGCCAAUACCAACUGAGAUGCUCCCCACAGAGGGAUCCGAUGGGGUUUUCCAUGAUUGGAAAAUUAUGUUUUUCUUAUUAGAAGUUUUUGGAACUGUAGGUUCCAUACCAGGUAAGAAUGUAUUUGUGGGAUGAUCAAAGCUUUGCCAUACUUUUCUUGGUGUAUCAGUGGAGUUAGACUGCUGUAAAAUCAGGUUCCCUGUAUCCAGAAGUUGAGCAGUGGAAUUCUCAGCAGCUAAACUUGUCACAUUUGUAGACCAAAUAAUCACUUUCUGCCCGUUAAUCAACUGCAGAUUUCCGUUGUCAGAAAUCUGCAGUACACCGGAUGAAUCAUCCAGAGGGUUAUUACGGUUGGCUACCCAUACGACGGUCAUACCAGGAACUUGGUUGAACCAUAUGCCAACAUAACGCUUUGCGGAGUUUGGUGGGCUGAAAAAACCCAGCUUGAAAGUAGCAUUUCUUGAAACUAUAGAUUGAGAAUCCAGUAGGAAUUGAGUUGUCGUGAUGCUGUUGCUGUCAAUGGCGAAACAAAGCUGACUGCAAAAGUAAUGCAGAAAGAAUACAAGGCAGUACAGAAGAGCCAUAGACAGAUGCUUUUGGUAGCUCAAUUCUUCACCUAAUUUAUGGAUUUGUAUGAAUUUUAUGAAUAUCCCAUUCCUUAAUUUGGUCUCAUUGAUUGAUUAUGACGUUGACAACAGGUACAUUCUUUAUUAGGAAGUAUUAUUAUUAUUACCUUUAUUGGAGUCAAUAAUGAAGUUGAUGGCCGGCUAAAUGAACA